AUUGAACGCUGGCGGCAUGCCUUACACAUGCAAGUCGAACGGCAGCACGGGUGCUUGCACCUGGUGGCGAGUGGCGAACGGGUGAGUAAUACAUCGGAACAUGUCCUGUAGUGGGGGAUAGCCCGGCGAAAGCCGGAUUAAUACCGCAUACGAUCUACGGAUGAAAGCGGGGGACCUUCGGGCCUCGCGCUAUAGGGUUGGCCGAUGGCUGAUUAGCUAGUUGGUGGGGUAAAGGCCUACCAAGGCGACGAUCAGUAGCUGGUCUGAGAGGACGACCAGCCACACUGGGACUGAGACACGGCCCAGACUCCUACGGGAGGCAGCAGUGGGGAAUUUCGGACAAUGGGCGAAAGCCUGAUCCAGCAAUGCCGCGUGUGUGAAGAAGGCCUUCGGGUUGUAAAGCACUUUUGUCCGGAAAGAAAUCCUUGGCUCUAAUACAGUCGGGGGAUGACGGUACCGGAAGAAUAAGCACCGGCUAACUACGU
rnacentral:rRNA from 1 species